rnacentral:rRNA from 1 species
ACUCCUACGGGAGGCAGCAGUGGGGAAUAUUGCACAAUGGGCGCAAGCCUGAUGCAGCCAUGCCGCGUGUAUGAAGAAGGCCUUCGGGUUGUAAAGUACUUUCAGCAGUGAGGAAGGCGGAGUCGUUAAUAGCGGCCUCGUUUGACGUUAGCUGCAGAAGAAGCACCGGCUAACUCCGUGCCAGCAGCCGCGGUAAUACGGAGGGUGCGAGCGUUAAUCGGAAUUACUGGGCGUAAAGCGCAUGCAGGUGGUUUGUUAAGUCAGAUGUGAAAGCCCGGGGGCUCAACCUCGGAAUUGCAUUUGAAACUGGCAGACUAGAGUACUGUAGAGGGGGGUAGAAUUUCAGGUGUAGCGGUGAAAUGCGUAGAGAUCUGAAGGAUACCGGUGGCGAAGGCGGCCCCCUGGACAGAUACUGACACUCAGAUGCGAAAGCGUGGGGAGCAAACAGGAUUAGAUACCCUGGUA